UACGAAGGGUGCAAGCGUUACUCGGAAUUACUGGGCGUAAAGCGUGCGUAGGUGGUUCGUUAAGUCUGCCGUGAAAGCCCCGGGCUCAACCUGGGAAUGGCGGUGGAUACUGGCGGACUAGAGUGCGGUAGAGGGUGGUGGAAUUCCCGGUGUAGCAGUGAAAUGCGUAGAGAUCGGGAGGAACGCCGGUGGCGAAAGCGGCGUGCUGGACCUCUUCUGACGCUGAGGCGCGAAAGCCAGGGGAGCGAACGGG
rnacentral:rRNA from 1 species